rnacentral:rRNA from 1 species
UACGAAGGGGGCGAGCGUUGUUCGGAAUCACUGGGCGUAAAGGGCGCGUAGGCGGUUUGCCAAGUCAGGCGUGAAAGCCCCGGGCUCAACCUGGGAACGGCGCUUGAGACUGGCGGACUCGAGUUCGGGAGAGGAUGGUGGAAUUCCCAGUGUAGAGGUGAAAUUCGUAGAGAUUGGGAAGAACACCGAGGGCGAAGGCAGCCAUCUGGACCGACACUGACGCUGAGGCGCGACAGCGUGGGGAGCAAACAGG